AGUUGACCACCAUAAUUGAAACUACAGAAAGUGAAAUUACAGAUAAGGGGGGGGCAAGUACUGCUAUUAAAAUGAGGUCAUAAUGGAUUAGCCUGGUCCUUCAUCCAAUGACUGGUAUCCUUCUAAGAAGAGUAAAACAGAGUCACAAAGGGAAGACUCUGGUAUAUAAAGACUAGUAGAAAGUGGAGUGAUGCCGCUAUAAACCAAGGAACAUCGAAGACUGACAACAACCAUCCACAGCUUAGGAAGAUGCCAAGAAGGAUUCUUCUCUAGGGACUUUGGAGAAGGCUGUGUUCUUACACCUCAAUUUUGGACUUCUAACCUCUAGAACUGUCUCCUGUUGGGGAUUCCCAUCAGUCCAACCUCUCCAGAAAGUACAGAGCAAAGAAGCCUAUUGACCUAAUGUACACAGACGUCAGCCUCUCCUAGCCCGGAGCAGGGUGGAGAAAGAUGAAAAGUGGCUCUGGAGAGGCAAACAGAGAGCCAGUCAGCCUGUGAGAGGACAGCUACAGACUGAAGAAGGCAAACUGCUAGUGCACAUUUCUGAUGGAGGAAAUGAGAUCUGAGUCUCCAAUAGACGGAGGAGACUCACUGUUUCCUGACAAGGCAGUAAACUUCAGAAGAUCUCCUUCCAGAAAGGGUUAACUUGCUCGGAAAACAAUAAAAGCAGUUAGA